AAAAACUUGAAGUAGACUUUGUUUCUAAUAAGGGCCUAAAGUGGCCAAAUCGUCUCAAAUAAGAUCUUUAAGUGGUUGGGAUGUCUCCUAAAGAGUAACGGAGGUGUAUGAAGGUAGGCUUAAGCUAAGAUUUUACUCGUGAACAUAAUGGUACAAGCCUACUUGACUAUGAGACUGAUUGGUCGAACAGAGACGAAAGUCAGCCAUAAUGAUCCAGGAGUCUCAUGUGGAAGGGCUCUCAGUCAACAGAUCAAAGGUACACUAGGGAUAACAGGUUGAUGACUCCCAAGAGCUCUUAUCAACAGAGUCGUUUGGCAUCUCAAUGUGACUCAUCACAUCCUAGAGGUGAAAAGGUUCCCAAGGGUUCGGUUGUUCACUGAUUAAAGUGGAAGAAAAUAGACUUCCAUUUCCCCUAGUAAGAGUC
rnacentral:ncRNA from 1 species